CAAAGGUCAAAAUAAAGACAAGUGAAUGAAAACGGAAGGAAACUUAACAGGCUGCACAGAAUCGGGCGGAAAAUCACCGAAACCAAUUCAAACUCCACAACAAUUGAGUGCGGCGGUCGUCGGCCCAAUGUGCUCAGGAAAAUACAAGACCAUGAUGCCUUCACGCUGGACUCUGGAGCCACUGCGGAUGCCGUGUCUUCAUGAUCAAAUGGCCAUUUUCCAUAUGGUUUCCUGCCCUUAUCCAUUUACUCCUGCAGCCAGAAGCAUUCCUCAGAGGGAUAUCUUGGAUAAGAGGGAAGGCCCUCAACAUGUCAAGUUCCUGCUGUCUAGAUUUCCCAUUACCUGUAAACAUUGUGGGUUUGUCCCUGGCUGUGCACGUGAACAAGGUAGUUUGGGGCUGUAAACAUCCCCGACUGGAAGCUGUCCAUCUGCAGAGCUUUCAGUCCGAUGUUUGCUGCUGCCAACUGCCUCCAGCUCCACAGAAAUGGAAGCACUAGCGAGAUGUGUAUUUAUUUAUCAGACCUGCUUCUUUACGAUCCAGACCUAUUUGUCCGCGGAGGUUGUAUUACAAGCAGGAGUCGUAGCUUGUGAACAGUAGAUCACGUUUUAACCAUAAUCUUUUUAGAUUUGGUGACCCAUGUCCUCGAUAUCAGUUAUUCUGACUCAGUUCAUGUAAACAUCCUACACUCAGCUGUUUUCAAUUGCAGCAGAGGCUGAGAGAAGGUUGUUUACUUGAACCGGCUGGAAGGGACACAGACAUUGAGCGAGCAUCAUGGUCCUCAUGGUCAAUAACACUUAUUUGUUUUUCAAGACCUCUAAUACACUGAAGUCUUCUUUUCCUCCUGUCCUGCCAUCGAAAAAGUCAUCCUGUUGAAAUGAAAACUAUGCAAGCCAACCUAAAGACGGGAUGUCCUGGUGUUUGCGUUCCUUGACUCAUACUGUCUCGUAUAAACAAUGCGUCUCUGUCAAGGUUAGGGCUGCAAAGAGCCGGAAACGUAUUUUAAUUUAAUUUUUUUACAUUUACCAUUUUCCAUUGAUCUCUUGAAAACACUGCCAGGUACACUGAACGUGCACUCACUCGUGCGGCCACAGAGUGCGCGUUGGAAAAUAAAGGUAUCGCGUAACAAAAUUCAAAACUAUUUUAAAGAUGUGUGGAAUGCAGCACAUGCCGUGUUUCUUUGCAAAGGAUCUAGUUGUAGCUUUUGUACACCGAGUAUUUUAUUCUCUCAACCCGAUUCAGGGAAAAUCAUAGCGAAUACCCUAUUUUCUUUGUUUUUGAUCAAGACAAGAAUAAAGUUCUACCCAAAUUGA